GAUCCUGGCUCAGGAUGAACGCUAGCUACAGGCUUAACACAUGCAAGUCGAGGGGCAGCAUUUCAGUUUGCUUGCAAACUGGAGAUGGCGACCGGCGCACGGGUGAGUAACACGUAUCCAACCUGCCGAUAACUCGGGGAUAGCCUUUCGAAAGUAAGACUAAUGCCCAAUGAUAUCCCACGAAGGCAUCCGAAUGGGAUUAAAGAUUUAUCGGUGAUGGAUGGGGAUGCGU
rnacentral:rRNA from 1 species